UCUUGGCAGUGUUACAGACAGUUUAAAAUCUCUUAGAGCAUCACGCAGUACACAAAAAGUGCCUGAGGGGUGGCCAAAAGUGAGAAGAUAGCUACAAAUUGGUGAGGCACCAUCAAGGCAAGGAGAAGAGCGACUAGUGGCACUGGGAAACCUUGCUGAGAAAGCUGAUCGGAGAGAAGGUCCCAAGAGGCUGGAAGAUCCUCUCAUCUCAGGCUGACAUUAGGACUCCCCUUGGAUUAUCUUUAUGUCAGGAGGGCCUCAGGAAGGUUUCUCUGAAUGUGGAUACCUUUCUGCCUUGCAAGGCUGGCAGGUGGUUACAAAGGGCACAGGCUUUCCAAGUGCUCAAAGAGAGGACAGAAACUUCUGGAAAAGCAUUUGGUGCAGCUGU